rnacentral:lncRNA from 1 species
GGGUGACAGGGGCCAAGGCAGGGGCCGCCUGACCGGGGCCUCCAAAGCCGAAAGUCCCCCAUCCUCCGCUCCGCCCCUGUGCCGCAGGUGAACGGGCAGAACGUGGUGAAGGUUGGCCACCGCCAGGUGGUGAACAUGAUCCGCCAAGGGGGCAACACGCUCAUGGUGAAGGUGGUGAUGGUCACCAGGCACCCGGACAUGGACGAGGCCGUCCACAAGAAAGCACCCCAGCAGGCGAAGCGGCUCCCACCCCCGGCCAUCUCCCUGCGCUCCAAGUCGAUGACCUCCGAGCUGGAGGAGAUGGAGUAUGAGCAGCAGCCUGCGCCGGUGCCCAGCAUGGAGAAAAAGCGGACUGUGUAUCAGAUGGCUCUGAGUAAGACGUCCCAGCCGGGUCCCUCACCCCCUGGCCUCCCUCCCUGUCACCUAGCCCCCUUUCCUGGUUCUGUCCCUUCGUCAGACUCCAUGGUCGGCCAUCUGUCUGCGCCUCUCUCAGACAAACUGGACGAGAUCCUGGCUGCAGCCCAGCAGACUAUCAGCGCUAGCGAGAGCCCCGCUCCUGGAGGCCUGGCGUCCCUGGGCAAGCACCGGCCCAAAGGCUUCUUCGCCACCGAGUCAAGCUUCGAUCCCCACCACCGCUCCCAGCCAAGUUACGAGCGUCCUUCCUUCCUGCCUCCAGGACCCGGACUCAUGCUCCGCCAAAAAUCUAUCGGUAGGUCUUCAAGGGCCGGCCGGUGAGGACGGGAUCCUGCCCAGGAAGGCAAGUGUGCCCGUAAAUGUCUUAUGCUCAGGCCUGUGUCUGGGCAGAGCUUGGGGCCUGGAGCUGAGCGUCUGGGCUCCUCCUCUGGCAUCUAGAAAGCGGGGACAAGCCCUGUGCUCAGGCAUGGGCUGGGGCUCCCAACCUCAGCGCAGAGUUGAUAAGAGGCAGUGACUGAGGCCAGAUGCUGCAGGAAAGCGCAGUCCGAGAGUCGAGAGCCAAGGUCUGACCCUGAGAAACAGGCAGGCUCAGCUCCUCUAGCGCCCAGAGCUUUGCCCUUGUCUUUGCCCAUUGUUUUCCCGACUCCAGCGAACUCUGCUUUUUCUGUGUGGCAGCUGCUCCUAUAAACAGCCACAUCUCGGGCUGGGGAUGUAGCCCAGUGGUAGGGAGCUUGUCUAGCAAGCGUAAGGCCGCGAAAGGUUCAAUCCCCAAGCCAAAAGAGCUUGUCUGCUAUCUGCUACGCCUUGAGGGGUUGUACCUGUGAAAUCAUAGGCCCAGGAUCACCGCGAGCCCUUCCCAGCUCACCCCAAGGCGUCAAAGUAUGCGUUUGCCUUUGUGCAAAUUAGAACGGGGCGCCCUCUCGCGUCUGGAGGUGGAAAUUCAGCUGAAUUUCGCCCCCCCUCCCGCCUGCUCCCCCUGCUGUUUGCUGUUGAGC